CUCAGGACUCAGAGUCAGCACAGGUGUAUCUGUGCACCUGUGCUGACUCUGAGUCCUGAGCCC
rnacentral:pre_miRNA from 1 species